rnacentral:rRNA from 1 species
AUUGAACGCUGGCGGCAGGCCUAACACAUGCAAGUCGAACGGUAACAGGAAGCAGCUUGCUGCUUCGCUGACGAGUGGCGGACGGGUGAGUAAUGUCUGGGAAGCUGCCUGAUGGAGGGGGAUAACUACUGGAAACGGUAGCUAAUACCGCAUAAUGUCGCAAGACCAAAGAGGGGGACCUUCGGGCCUCUUGCCAUCGGAUGUGCCCAGAUGGGAUUAGCUUGUUGGUGGGGUAACGGCUCACCAAGGCGACGAUCCCUAGCUGGUCUGAGAGGAUGACCAGCCACCCUGGAACUGAGACACGGUCCAGACUCCUACGGGAGGCAGCAGUGGGGAAUAUUGCACAAUGGGCGCAAGCCUGAUGCAGCCAUGCCGCGUGUAUGAAGAAGGCCUUCGGGUUGUAAAGUACUUUCAGCGGGGAGGAAGGGAGUAAAGUUAAUACCUUAGCUCAUUGACGUUACCCGCAGAAGAAGCACCGGCUAACUCCGUG